rnacentral:rRNA from 1 species
CAAGUGUGAGGUAAGGGCGUUUGGUGAAUGCCUUGGCAUACAGAGGCGAUGAAGGACGUGGCACGCUGCGAUAAGCGUUGGGGAGCUGUGAGCAAGCUUUGAUCCAACGAUUUCCGAAUGGGGAAACCCGG